rnacentral:misc_RNA from 1 species
GAUGAAGAACGCAGCGAAAUGCGAUACGUAGUGUGAAUUGCAGAAUUCAGUGAAUCAUCGAAUCUUUGAACGCACAUUGCGCCCGCCAGUAUUCUGGCGGGCAUGCCUGUUCGAGCGUCAUUACAACCCUCAGGCCCCCGGGCCUGGCGUUGGGGAUCGGCGGAAGCCCCCUGCGGGCACAACGCCGUCCCCCAAAUACAGUGGCGGUCCCGCCGCAGCUUCCAUUGCGUAGUAGCUAACACCUCGCAACUGGAGAGCGGCGCGGCCACGCCGUAAAACACCCAACUUCUGAAUGUUGACCUCGAAUCAGGUAGGAAUACCCGCUGAACUUAAGCAUAUCAAUAAGCGGAGGA